AUCGCACGUUCAACAAACACUACUCGCUUAUCAUACACGAACGCAACCAUCUGCCCGCCGUCAAUUACCGGUGCGAGAUGUGUUACAAAUCGUUCAAGCGGCAAGACAGCUUACAACAGCACAGAUGUGGCCAUUCAAGGUGAACUGCGGAUUCUUCAAGACAACCCCUCUAAAAACCUACCUAUUUAAAAACAAAAAAAUAUACCUACUAUAAUAAUAAUUAUAGGCCACAUUUCUAACUGUAUAUAUCGACCCAUAGUCCAAAUUACAGAGCUGGGUAUGCAUUGCAGCUUUGAAAAAAUUGUGAUAUGCUAAAUUAUUAGCAAACUGUUGUAACGAAAUUGUAUUUGUAAAUAGAGACUAACUAGGUACUUAAUAAGUAAGUUGUAUAACUAAUAAGAUUAGAUUUUUGAGCAGACUGGUCAGUUUUUACGUUUUUUAAUGAACUUAAUAAAAAUUCGAAAAACAAAAAAACUAUUUAAACAAAUUAAAUGUUAUUCCAUUAAUAAUUUAUUAACUUUAUUAUGACAUAUGUUAUAUUAUAUUAAGUAAUAAUUUAAAAUAUGUCUUACAAAACGUAUUAUAUUUUAAUAUAACUCCUGUAAGACACUAUAAAUUAAAUGUUAUAAAAAUGUAAUGUUAAUGGGGUUCAUUAAAAAGUUGAAAAAAUCCCCAUGAGAUUUUCUGGAAUGUUCCUUAAAAAUUUCUUAUUUGAAAUUCGCAAUUUUGGCAAAUUACAAUUUAAGAAAUAUGUUUUUAUGUGUUAACUCUAAGAAUAGUGCUCCUAGCCUGCAUAUAAACAUAUUAUUACCAUUUAAAGCAAGAACACAUUGUUUUUAAGCAUUUAAUUAUAUUAAAUAAUAGUUAAUAUAAUAUUGCAUUUUGUAAAUAUGUAACCAGUUAUUGUU